AAUAGAUACCCAGGUAGUCCACGCCGUAAACGAUGAGUGCUAAGUGUUAGAGGGUUUCCGCCCUUUAGUGCUGCAGCUAACGCAUUAAGCACUCCGCCUGGGGAGUACGGUCGCAAGACUGAAACUCAAAGGAAUUGACGGGGGCCCGCACAAGCGGUGGAGCAUGUGGUUUAAUUCGAAGCAACGCGAAGAACCUUACCAGGUCUUGACAUCCUCUGACAACUCUAGAGAUAGAGCGUUCCCCUUCGGGGGACAGAGUGACAGGUGGUGCAUGGUUGUCGUCAGCUCGUGUCGUGAGAUGUUGGGUUAAGUCCCGCAACGAGCGCAACCCUUGAUCUUAGUUGCCAGCAUUUAGUUGGGCACUCUAAGGUGACUGCCGGUGACAAACCGGAGGAAGGUGGGGAUGACGUCAAAUCAUCAUACCCCUUAUGACCUGGGCUACACACGUGCUACAAUGGAUGGUACAAAGGGCUGCAAGACCGCGAGGUCAAGCCAAUCCCAUAAAACCAUUCUCAGUUCGGA
rnacentral:rRNA from 1 species